GAUGAACGCUGGCGGCGUGCUUAACACAUGCAAGUCGAACGGGAUCGGCUGGAGCUUGCUCCGGCCGUGAGAGUGGCGAACGGGUGAGUAAUGCGUGACCGACCUGCCCCAUACACCGGAAUAGCUCCUGGAAACGGGUGGUAAUGCCGGAUGCUCCAACAUGACGCAUGUCGUGUUGGGAAAGAUUCAUCGGUAUGGGAUGGGGUCGCGUCCUAUCAGGUAGUCGGCGGGGUAACGGCCCACCGAGCCUACGACGGGUAGCCGGCCUGAGAGGGCGACCGGCCACAUUGGGACUGAGAUACGGCCCAGACUCCUACGGGAGGCAGCAGUGGGGAAUAUUGCACAAUGGGCGCAAGCCUGAUGCAGCGACGCCGCGUGCGGGAUGACGGCCUUCGGGUUGUAAACCGCUUUUGACUGGGAGCAAGCCCUUCGGGGUGAGUGUACCUUUCGAAUAAGCACCGGCUA
rnacentral:rRNA from 1 species